rnacentral:sRNA from 1 species
UUCAAUGAUUUCAUAUUGUGCCGGCGG